GGAAGGAUCAUUAACACUCAAAAUACAAUCACACCUUUUGUUGAACUUCGUAAAUCAGUUGUGUCCGAAAUGUGUUUAACUUCGGUUAAUCGCCUUUCGUUGACCUACCCCAAAAAUUACGAACUCAAUUAUUUUUACCCCAUACAAACUCUGUCUGAAACUUUAAAAACAACUUAGGUUGAAUUAUGAUUAAUUGUAAGACAACCUUUGGCAGUGGAUAUCUUGGCUCUUGCAUCGAUGAAGAACGCAGCAAACUGCGAUAAGUAGUGUGAAUCGCAGAAUUCUGUGAAUCAUCAAAACUUUGAACGCACCUUGCAGUCCAAUGGGGGGCAACUCUCAUUGGACUAUACCUGUUUGAGAAUUGAUUACUUUCUAUCAAAAACGUAAGUUUUUGGAAGAUGAGGAUGAACCGACUUUAAACCUUGGUUCUUCCUUUAAUGAAUCAAUCCUCGAGUUUCUCUCAGUUUUACUGAGAGAGGCGCAAAAAAAAGCAAGAGAAAAAAAAUCCGUCGGCAGCAAAAAUGGUCGUUUGCUGUUGCUGAUUAGGGUCAUUGUAGGAUUGCAAUGCCUAUAUUAUAAUAUAAGCAUUGCGUUAAAAUUCUCAGUGUAUUCGAAAAGCAACCGUUUAGAAAGGCGAACAAUCAAUUAACUGCUCGGCAGUCCUUUUUUUCUUUUGAUUCCCUUUUUUUUUUUAAUCUCAAAUCAGGUAAGAGUACCCGCUGAACUUAAGCAUAUUACUAAGCGGAGGAAAAGAAACUAACUAGGAUUCCCUCAGUAACGGCGAGUGAACAGGGAAAAGCUCAUGGUUAAAAUCGGGUAGCUUCGCUGCUCGAGUUGUACUUUUGAGAGGCGUGUCUAGGGAAGGUUCCAGAGAUAAGUACCCUCAGAAUGGGUCAUCAAAGAGGGUGAAAAUCCCGUAUUUGCCCUGGAUCCCUUUCCAAUACGGACUGCCUUCGUAGAGUCAGGCUGUUUGGGAUUGCAGCCCUAAGUGGGUGGUAAGCUUCAUCUAAAGCUAAAUAUUGGCAAGAGACCGAUAGCAAACAAGUACCGCGAGGGAAAGAUGAAAAGAACUUUGAAAAGAGAGUGAUAAUAGUCCUUGAAACUGCCAAAGUGACAAGCGAUAGGAGUUGUCGUUGCGUCCUCUUAUUCUCUCUGCGAAUUCGACCGGCCAAUACGGAAGAGUGUCAAAACCUUUCGUCGUUGGUGCAGCCGAGAAUUGCGGAAGAGAUAUAGGAGGAUGCCGGCCAAUGACGGUUUCGGAAGUGUCUUUAAGCCGGGGGAAGGUAGGUCGAAGGGGCUUGCUCCUUCUUCUGUUAUAGCCCUUGGUGGAAACACAUCCUUGACCGGGAGAGGUUUUCCAAAAGCCUGACAGGAGAAAGGAACUUGGUUGUCGGUUGGGGGCGCCGGGGAUAGGUAGCAGUGCUUGCACUGAUAUGUGUCUUCCGGUGUUCCACGGCGGUCAUCUUGCUUCUCUUAUCACACUGGCAAUUGGAUGGCUUCUAUCGUCCCGUCUUGAAACACGGACCAAGGAGUCUAACAUAUAUGCGAGUAUUCGGGUGAUCAAACCCAAGAAUGCGUAAUGAAAGUGAAGGGGCGCAAGCCCUGAGGUAGGAAUCUCUCCCUCGGGAGAGAGGCACUAUCGACCGAUCUGGAUGUUUUUUGAAGGAUUUGAGUAAGAGCAUAUCUGUUAGGACCCGAAAGACGGUGAACUAUGCCUGUGUAGGGUAAAGCCAGAGGAAACUCUGGUGGAGGCUCGUAGCGAUACUGACGUGCAAAUCGUUCGUCAAACAUGGGUAUAGGGGCGAAAGACUAAUCGAACCGUCUAGUAGCUGGUUCCCUC
rnacentral:misc_RNA from 1 species